CUGCUGCAAUAGUCAUUAUCAGCACAUACGUAAGAAUUGGAACGAUACAGAGAAGAUGAACAUGGCGCCCGUACAAAGAGGACAUGCAGUUCGUCGAAUGUUUUAUAUUUUUU
ensembl:snRNA U6 U6 spliceosomal RNA